AUGCACACAAAUGCAAUACAACUAGGUGCAAUUACUCUAAUUGCACCUAGUUGUAUUGCAUUUGUGUGCAUU